CCUACGGGUGGCAGCAGUGGGGAAUAUUGGGCAAUGGAGGAAACUCUGACCCAGCAACGCCGCGUGAAUGAUGAAGGUCUUCGGAUUGUAAAGUUCUUUUCUAAGGGAAGAAGAAAGUGACGGUACCUUAGGAUUAAGCCUUGGCUAACUACGUGCCAGCAGCCGCGGUAAUACGGAGGAGGCAAGCGUUAUCCGGAAUGACUGGGCGUAAAGGGUGCGUAGGUGGUUUGACAAGUUGGUAGCGUAACUCCGAGGCUUAACCUCGGCACUACUACCAAAACUGGUGGACUCGAGUGCAGGAGGGGCAAGUGGAAUUCCUAGUGUAGCGGUGGAAUGCGUAGAUAUUAGGAGGAACACCAGUGGCGAAGGCGAUUUGCUGGACUGUAACUGACACUGAGGCACGAAAGCGUGGGGAGCAAACAGGAUUAGAUACCCGAGUAGUC
rnacentral:rRNA from 1 species